rnacentral:lncRNA from 1 species
UUUAUUCACCCAUGAGCCUCUUCGCUCCCAUGUCUUUUUACAGGGCUGGGAGAAUGAACUGAUAUCGUGGGAACCCAACGACUGGUGUGGGAUUGAGAGCGUAGCAGUUCCCAGAGACAUGCUGUGGAUACCAGACGUUAUGAUCUUAGAGGACAUUUCUGAUACAGGCAGUAUCACAUUGAGCCCCUACACAGAGGUGGCCCACUCUGGCAUGGCCUAUGUGACAGAAAGCCGCCGGUUGACCACCACCUGCAAGAUGAAUCUUUUUAAGUUCCCCUUUGACACCCAGAACUGCAGCAUUACCUUUAUUUCCUUUAUGCUUAAAGGUACACGCACGCACGUACGCACGUACGCACGCACGCACGCACGCACACACGCACGCACGCACGCACACACACACACACACACACACACACACACACACAGGAGGUAUAAUAGAUUUUCUUUAAUCUUUUUACUGAUAGGUAUAAAGUUGGGGCCCUUCUCCAACAGCAUUAUCAUGAGCCAAUUUUCCGAGAAGGUCAUGGUUACAUUGGGGGAAUGGGACUUCCUGGGCAUUAGGUUGUCCAUGGAAAAGCUAAUCUACGACAACAACAUUGUUUGGGACAAGCUGGUCUACAAGGUAUGCAAAUCAGAGAGAGCAAGAACUUGAAUAGGAAUGUGUUCCAUCAUGGUAUUUGAUCAUUCUCCAAAAACAAUGUUAAGUCCAGUAAGUUACUAUUUUCCUCACAGAUCAGCAUACGAAGAAGACCCCUUUUAUACGUGAUCAACCUCCUACUGCCACUCUUAUUUUUCCUCAUCCUGGACUUGGCCUCCUUUUUCAUUGAUGAGGCCAAGGGGGAAAAGCUGGGCUACAAAGUGACCAUACUCUUGUCCAUCUCUGUCUUACUGCUGAUUCUCAAUGACAUCCUGCCUUCCACAGCAGAUGACCUGCCACUCAUAGGUAAUAAUAUUAACUACCAAUCAUACCAUGUCAAAUCUCAAUCCACAUCUACCUCUCCAAAUCAAAUCAAAGUUUAUUUGUCACAU